GGGUCAGCGGACGCGCGCGCUCCCGCUGCUCCGCCCCGCCCGUCCCGGCGCCGGCGGUGCGGGAGCGCGCCCGUGGAGGUAGCUCACCUGGGGGCGGGGCUCCUAGGGGGCGGGGCGAGUGGGGGCGCGCCGAGACCCGGGUGCUGCGCGUCCGCCGAGCGGCAGAGCCUUGGGAACCCUGCCUGGUAGCUCCGCCCAGGCCGUGUGGUCCUCGAAUCUGCGUUCCCCGUGGAGACCUCGCUACGCUCUGCCUUGAGGCACAGGCACAAACAACCCGCUUGAAGUCAGGGGCUCGGGUCUGAGUCCAAACCUGUGACCUUGGCCUGCUGCCAUCUCAUUGCCUCCCGGGUCACAUCUAAUUUUAAGAAUCUUUGCUGUUUCCCGGCUUUUGAACAGUUCUCUUCCAGGACUACAUUUUAAGUCACUCCGCAGGCCUUCUUCACGCCGCAGCGCCUGGGGUGCAGUGUCCUCAUUAUCGUAACUACGUCCUCCAACUCCCAUCAGGCAGCGACAUCUGGACAGUGAGGAUGCUUUUAGUUUUUGAAGUAUUCUCACGAGAGUCCGGGCUGUGGUGGAUCUUGAAUUUUCCAAAAGGCCUGAGACUUUUGGCAUCUGUGGAAGACUCUAUAUCGCCUUACUUUUGUUAAAAAUAUAAACUGGGGUUUUGAGUUUUAUUACCCAAUGUGACCUAAAUGGUGGUCAAAAGUUAUAGUAAAGGAAAGACAAGCUCACAACACUAGCAUUGCAGAUUUUUCCUCUCUAGAUUUCUGUAUGGUCACAUUUCUUUGCAGUUUUUUCACUUUUGAGAAUUUAACUAUUUAAAGACUUUUUAAAAAUUCUGUGGAUCCUGUGUAUAUCCAGUAUUUUUAAAAUUUAUCUUGUUUUUCUGCUUCGCAAAUUUAAACCGAGUGCCCCCCAACAGUUACUCUGCUAAGUUCUACUAAAAUUUUAAAAAUCAAGGAAUCAAGUUUUAUUUAUCCUACUGAAUAUGGAUUAAAUAGGAAAUUCAGAGGGUUAGCCGAAUCCAUGGUUAUUAAAAAUCUGGCAGUGGGAGUCCGGGGAAGGAAGCUAAGAACGUCCUAGAAACUACACUGGAAAACUGAAGGCAGGUGGGACACCUGCCACAGCAUGGCUUGAUAAGCAGUGCACAGGUCUGCACCCAGGAUCCAAACCGGUGAACCCCAGGCCAUCAAAGCAGAGCACACGAACUUAACCCCUAUGCCACCAGGCCAGCCUGUAAAUUCCGGGUUUUUUCGAGAGAAGGCUACCGUUAUUACCGAUGCUACCAGUUCCAACGUUAGCAGAAAAAGCUGAUGCAGAAAAAUGGGAGACAGGACAUAUGAACAUCUCCUCAUACAGGAUUCAGGCACCUCUUCCAUGGAAAUCCAAUCAGCUUUAAGAGGACCCAGGAGGGCAGAACUGCCCUUGAAAUGCUAAAAUUGGGAAAACAGCUUGAGAAUGUUAUGAAGCAAGACACACUGACGUGAAAGAUAUUUUCAUCUCCACUCACUUGGUGCCAACUCAGAGCAAAGUUAGGAAAACAGAGCACCAUGUGCUGUAAAGUAAUACUGAAUGGAACAGUUCUAGAGACUUGGAUCUGAAGUGCAAGAUCAGGUGCUGAUGCUGGCAGAUUCCACGUUUGGUUUGCCCCACUAUCCAAAAGCUGGCUUCACACCACUUCGCUUUUACAAAUGACCUACAGUAGUACCUGUCUUCACUGAAGAAAUCCGAAGAGGAUUUUCACUUUUACGAAAAAAGGUGAAAAUAGCGUCCUGCAUUUGUUUUGCAGUGAGUCGUUACAGAGGCUAAGCAGUCAGGCAUACUGUCAUAUUUCAAACCUUCCACAUCAGCCACAGCAGACAAUGAACCUGGACCUUCGACAUCGAGACAGGCAGACACAGAAGAAGGGUCUCCUGUACCCCCCACCGUCCCCACCUCAGACGACUCAGCCUUCACAUCAUCACCGCCACCCCUCAGCCUUCCAGUGUGCUCGCCGUCUUCCCGAGUCUGAUCAUCUUUCGUCUUCUAAAAUUGAAGAUCUUAUUUAUAUGAAGCUUCUCUUUUAUUCCUAUGUAUUGAGUUCUAAAAUCUCUCAAAUUGGAAUGAGACUGUCAGGAAGACACUGAAACAACAGUGAAAGACUUUGAAAUUGGCAAAGAGUACUGAGUGUCUUGUCUAGAACAUCCUUCUGGGUUAUCUCUACCUUUCAAUGUCUUUGAGCUAUUUUAUAACUCCAUAAGAUGUAAAAUACUGAUAGUAAUUCAAAUGAUUCUUGUCUAUAGAUAUGCAAAUUGUGCCCCCUGAAACACAACUGAUCAUUGCCAUAGGAUAUUAUCCUGUUUGACAUUUAUUUGUAAAUUCAUUUCAGCAUUUCUAAUUGCCUAUAUAUGCACAGUCUUUGAAUUCUCCUUUAAAUCACUUAUAACAUCUUAUUGGUUUCCUCAUUAAUUGAUAAGUUAAAUAAAAUCUUGGACAUGUGUUGAUUUUA